AGAUUAUGGUGUGGACAGCAUUUCAACAAAUCUUUGUACCUCUUCCAGGCAUCAUACAUGCUCUCAUCUUCCAUCUGCACAAAAGAAGAAAUGUCAUUCCUUAAUUU
rnacentral:snoRNA from 1 species